UGUUAAGGUCUCUAAUCAUAUUUUAGUACUCAGUAAUUAAAAUUAUUAUGUUUUUAUCCAAAUUUUCUAAUCACUGGUAAAAUAAAUCGUUCAAACAUUAAACAUAUCAUGAAUUUCUACUCCCGAAACUAAGCAGCGACCCGCCAAGGUUAACACUCAUACACACGCACAAUCCACGAAAAAAUAUUUAUACAGCUCGCAUCUGCUGCGUAGAAGAACAACAAUGAUCAACACAGUUGUGCGAUAGCUAAAACAUAAACACACCGCCAGGCAGGGCAGCAGAAACAUCGUCAGAGGCAGAGCAGUAGAUGUGUAUAGAAACAAAAUGUGAAAAAGAAUCGUAAAAUGGUCAGCGAAGAACCCCGCUUAACGGCGGACUGACCGGUUGCGUUUCCACAGACGGUCAACCGUUUCUCUGCUUCUGACAGAAAUUAUUAUCUGGUAGAACUGUGAAGCAGAAAUCCACCCUAACCCGAACCUACCUGUUGGGUAAACGUACUUCCAUCCCAACCCAACACAGAAACUUGAGGCCUCCUUCUUCGUAUGCGUAAAAGCUUGUACGCUCUUUUAUUUUUGGUUUCCCUGUACCGGCAUAGAAAGACGCACCCUAUACCUACCAACCCGGUAGUAGCGGCCCGUGGACCAACACUCGAUAACAGGCCUUCGGUAGUGUUUGUUGGCUGGUUCGAUAAGCAGGAAUUGAAUUGCGGGUACCCGAAAUUUCUACCUCACAAGUUGCAUUUAUUAAGGGAAACUUCUCAGCCCACGAAAUGCUUCCAACGGUGCGCCCCCUAUUGACCAGCUUGGCGGUGCGGAAUUCCGCCUUCUUGGCUCGCAGUUACCACAAGAAGAAGAAUCCCAACUUCCGCCCGCAAACGAUGAACGACUAUCCGGUGCCGGAGGGAGAUUUCUUCGAUGAACAUCGGCGCAAAAAUCGCAUCUACAACAUGUGGCUAGCGGUGGGUAUCAUCACCUUCGGUAUGACCCUGUACGUGGCCAAGGAGUCGGGAUUAAUGUUUAUGAACUACAAACCACCGAAGAGCAUCGAUUGAACACCACGGGUGGAACCAACCGUCCGACAGUAUUGGUGAAGUUUGUUAUCUGAUAGUAAAUGAAAAGAUAUGUCCCCUAAGAAA